CUUUCUUUUGGAACCACAUGGGCUUACAGCCUGGGGAAGCAGAGAAGCUGCCAUAAGAGCAAACCGGAUCCUCUUCAUCCUGAGCAGCCUGGAGCCAGCGGGACCUUGUUUAAUUCCGAAGGAAUGUGUGCGGUCCCGCCCAGCUAAGCAGGCCCCAGCCUGACUUAGGGCCUCAGAGCCACCCAGCCAGAGGCUGAUGCCUUCCACAGGGGGCUGGGGUCACACCCUUCCGGAGAGAGACAACACAUCAACCCCUGAGGCUGGAGUGCUCUAAGUGGGUGACAGUGUCUGUGCCAGGGUGCCCAGCCCUGCGCUUCGGGAAACAAGUAGCAAAGAGGAGAUGGAUAGCCUGGCCCCAACCUCAACUCUGAGAUCAUGGCUCUAUGUUUGGAGUCCCCUGACCUGUGAAUCCUGUCAGCCUGAUAUCGCUCCCUCCUCACAGCCCAAUGGGCCAGCAGGGCCCAAGAGGCAGAGACAGGGCCCUAAGGCAGCUCAGACUUCAGCCCAUCUUCCUGGUUCUGCAGACCCUAUGGACCACUGGAAUGCCUGACUGAACAUGCCACACAGCUGACCUUCUGAAUCCUGGUGAUUUCAGGGUUGUGUCCCACCAGCCGCUGAGGACCUGAGCUCCUAGUGUCAUUGUUCAGAAGGACAGGCACAGACUCAAUAAACGAAUGGCUCAGAGCCACAUUUUCUUGCA